UACAGAGACCUCAAGCAUUAUCCGGAUUUAUUGGGCGUAAAGCGUCCGCAGACGGCACGUUAAGUCUCUCGUCAAAUCUAUGGGCUCAACCCAUAGGCUGCGGGGAAACUGGCGAGCUAGAGGUUGGGAGAGGUGAGCGGAAUUACCGGUGUAGUAGUAAAAUGCGUUAAUAUCGGUAAGAACACCAAAGGCGAAGGCAGCUCACUGGAACACACCGUG
rnacentral:rRNA from 1 species